UGAGGGUGCUGGGGCGGGGGGGCGGUUAUGGGGGCGUCAGAAGCUCCCCCUAAGCCCCCCAAAAUCCCUCGUGCUUCCCCUCCUCGUCUCUCACUGGCCGCUGGUUCCGCGCCAGUUUACUCACUUCCUGGACUACAACUCCCGAAAGACCGCGGGGCCCCGUCGGCCGCCGAUAGAGCCGGGACUGCGGUUCCCGUCAUGCCCCGCGGCCCGCGAGAGGCCCGUCAGGGCCGGCACUGUCCCCUAAGCACCGUCCCAGCUGCUCCCCGAGUGCUUCCCUGAACCGUGAGUGCGCCCCAGGCCCCUUUCACUUGGCUUGUGCGUGGAAUGCUUCUGUAAAUCAGCCACCUGAAUGGACUCUGCACAAUACAGGGGAAAAAAAGCACCAGACUGUCUAGGGAAAAAAAGAGGGUUGAGGAGACCCCAAAACUGGAGGUAUCCCAAACCAGGAGAGACUCCCCAGGGGGUCCUCAUUCAGAUGCCUCCCGCUUCGGGCCCUCGCAGGCGCCGGGCCAGCUGCAGAUCCUUGGGGAACAGGGUGACUCGGCGGGCGUGCAGCGAGCACAGGUAUGCGUCUUCCAACAACCUCACCAUGAAGGCCUCUGCUGCCUGUGAACCAAAACCUGAGGGAGGGUGCCCAAAGCUCCCCAGCCUGCCCCAACCCCCACACUAUCCCCCGGGGUCAGAGACUCCCCCCAGACACACACCCAGGGGGCAGGGUCCCUCCAAACCCACCCAUGGUUGACUGAAGCACCUUGUGCUUGCAAAUGUGUUAGGGAGGGAUCAAGACCCAAUGACCCAUCCUCAAUCCCCGACAGACCCUGGGAAUAAGGGACCCCGCCCCACCCAGCACCCAGAGACCCUCUCAACAUCCAUAGAACCCUGUCCCAGAACCCAUAGACCCCCAGCCAAUGGAGACCCUCCUAGACUCCCCCUCAGCUCCCAUCACAUACACCCAACAAACCUCUCAGCCUCAUCCAAGCAUCCAAAGAGACCUUCUUGGACCUCCCCAGCCCCCAGAGACACCCCCAGCACCCAGAGAUUCCCCCUGCAGCACCCACAGCCCCCCAGCCCCCACGGAAACCUUCUCAGUACCCAUGAGAUCC